CUACACUUACAGUCAUAGCAAAGGUAUUGUAUCCUGAAUAAGUGUUUGUGUUCUGACUUUAAAUUACUAAAAGUUCACUUUGUGAAACUAGUUUUUUGGAUGGCUAUUAACUCUAGAAGUGAAAAUUUUCUAUAAGCGGUACCAAAUCUUGAUUUUGUGGUCUUUUAUGACUCAACGGUAAAACUAAUAAACAAUGUGACAACAUCAGUGAAUUCAAUUAUGAUGGAUGCCUUGCAUAUGUGAUAUGUUGUCUAUGCACAUCAAUUUGAUAAUUGGGGCAAGUAUUUGUUUGUGUGCAUGCACAGGCAGAUGUAAGUGUAUAUGUGUGCAAAAUUAGGAUAAUUUUCCAGGGAGGGAGACAAGAAAAUUGUAGUUUCCUAGUGUGUAGGCAUGUGUUAUGCACAUUGAUAACUGCGGGAAGUAUUUGUUGGUGUGCAUGCAUAGGCAGAUGUGUAUGUGUGAAAUAAGGAUAAUUUUCCAGGGAGAGAGACAAGAAACAUUGUAAUUGCCAAAAUAGAGAUUAGAGUUUCCUUUGUGUAUUCAUGUGUAGGCAUGUGACAUUAUUCUAUAUAGGCUAUCAAGUCCAAAUGUAACAAAAUUUGAAGUUGUAUGCUGUAAGCUAUGUAUUUGUUAUGAGUCUGAGCCCUCUGGGGGCAGUGGCCUGACUCUUGAGGACAGUGAUUCUGGGAGUUCUCUUCUAAAUUUCUAUUUCUGACAAAAUUCUCUUUAAUUUUCUGUUAUAAGUUGGCUAGUUAACACAUUCUAGACCUUUUAUUUAGAUUUAAGCAUUUGAUGUAUUGUGUUGUGCAAAUCUGAAAAGGGAUACUGAAUUAGGAAAUGUUAUUCGAAAAUGAACAAGGUUUACAAACACAAAUGUUUGUGAUUGGUUGAUUCUAAAAAGAGUUGUAUUUGUUUUUAGUCGCUACCCUCACUGGUACAACUCCUGCUUUAGUCUCUACUGACUCAUUCAUGAAAGGUAUUGAUGUUAUUCAUUUGUAACAUAUAGCAUCAUGCAUUGAAUUAAGCAUAGUACUUUAAAAGCUUGUUUUAUCAAAGGGUGUGUUAUGUUCUGCAGCUAUUUUAUUUAGGAAUCAGAUAAUUUGGGAAUUAGGAUAUCUGAGCGUAGGGGUGGCCACGGUUCAGGAA
rnacentral:misc_RNA from 1 species